AGCCAAUGUGAGGACAGGAAUUCAAAAGAUCUUUGGAUCUCUCUCAACAUUGGAAGAAGGUCUCUUCCUCUUUUUGAGAGAAAUCUUUGAUCGCCCUCCUUAGGAU